rnacentral:rRNA from 1 species
GUUGGUUAGCUUGCUAACCGGCGGACAGCGGCGGAAGGGAGAGUAACGCGUGGUUAUGUGCCCUGAAGACCGGGAUAGUGUUGGGAAACUGGCAGUAAUACCGGAUAAUAUCUUUGGAUCAAAGGUGUGAUUCCGCUUCAGGAUCGGACCGCGUACUAUUAGCUUGUUGGUGGGGUAAUGGCCCACCAAGGCUCAGAUGGUUACCGGGUGUGAGAGCAUGACCCGGCUCACUGGGACUGAGACACUGCCCAGACAUCUACGGAUGGCUGCAGUCGAGAAUCUUCGGCAAUGGACGAAAGUCUGACCGAGCGACGCCGCGUGCGGGAUGAAGGCCCUCGGGUUGUAAACCGCUGUCAGUUAGGAGGAAAUCUAUGAGGGUACUCUCUCAUAGUUGACCGAUUUUCAGAGGAAGGACGGGCUAAGUUCGUGCCAGCAGCCGCGGUAAGACGAACCGUCCAAACGUUAUUCGGUAUCACUGGGCUUAAAGCGUGCGUAGGCGGCUUGAUAGGUGAGAUGUGAAAGCCCACGGCCCAACCGUGGAAUUGCGUUUCAAACCCUCAAGCUCGAGGAAGAUAGGGGUGAUGGGAACUUAUGGUGGAGCGGUGAAAUGCGUUGAUAUCAUAGGGAACACCGGUGGCGAAAGCGCAUCACUGGAUCUUUUCUGACGCUGAGGCACGAAAGCUAGGGUAGCGAACGGGAUUAGAUACCCCGGUAGUCCUAGCCGUAAACGAUGAGCACUGGGUUGAGGGAACUAUCACAUUCUCUCGGCCGUAGCGAAAGCG